UAGGGAAUCUUCGGCAAUGGACGGAAGUCUGACCGAGCAACGCCGCGUGAGUGAAGAAGGUUUUCGGAUCGUAAAGCUCUGUUGUUAGAGAAGAACGUUGGUAGGAGUGGAAAAUCUACCAAGUGACGGUAACUAACCAGAAAGGGACGGCUAACUACGUGCCAGCAGCCGCGGUAAUACGUAGGUCCCGAGCGUUGUCCGGAUUUAUUGGGCGUAAAGGGAGCGCAGGCGGUUCUUUAAGUCUGAAGUUAAAGGCAGUGGCUUAACCAUUGUACGCUUUGGAAACUGGAGGGCUUGAGUGCAGGAGGGGAGGGUGGAAUUCCAUGUGGAGCGGUGAAAUGCGUAGAUAUAUGGGGGAACACCGGUGGCGAAAGCGGCUCUCUGGUCUGGAACUGACGCGGAGGCUCGAAAGCGUGGGGAGCAAACAGG
rnacentral:rRNA from 1 species